AUUGAACGCUGGCGGCAUGCCUUACACAUGCAAGUCGAACGGUAACAGGCCGCAAGGUGCUGACGAGUGGCGAACGGGUGAGUAAUGCAUCGGAACGUGCCCAGUCGUGGGGGAUAACUGCUCGAAAGAGCAGCUAAUACCGCAUACGACCUGAGGGUGAAAGCGGGGGACCGCAAGGCCUCGCGCGAUUGGAGCGGCCGAUGUCAGAUUAGCUAGUUGGUGGGGUAAAGGCCUACCAAGGCAACGAUCUGUAGUUGGUCUGAGAGGACGACCAGCAACACUGGGACUGAGACACGGCCCAGACGCCUACGGGAGGCAGCAGUGGGGAAUUUUGGACAAUGGGCGCAAGCCUGAUCCAGCAAUGCCGCGUGCAGGAAGAAGGCCUUCGGGUUGUAAACUGCUUUUGUCAGGGAAGAAAUCUUCUGGGCUAAUACCCCGGGAGGAUGACGGUACCUGAAGAAUAAGCACCGGCUAACUACGUGCCAGCCGCCGCCGUAACAC
rnacentral:rRNA from 1 species